GUCUAGUGUGAGGGGUUAUAUCAGUAGUCUAGUGUGAGGGGUUGUGUCAGUAGUCUAGUGUGAGGGGUUAUGUCAGUAGUCUAGUGUGAGGGGUUAUAUCAGUAGUCUAGUGUGAGGGGUUGUGUCAGUAGUCUAGUGUGAGGGGUUGUGUCAGUAGUCUAGUGUGAGGGGUUAUGUCAGUAGUCUAGUGUGAGGGGUUAUAUCAGGGGAGACAGUGUGUCAGUAGUCUAGUGUGAGGGGUUAUGUCAGUAGUCUAGUGUGAGGGGUUAUAUCAGGGGAGACAGUGUGUCAGUAGUCUAGUGUGAGGUGCAGGAAUAUUGUCAAGUGAACCUGGGGAGCUUUGUGUUCACAUUGACUUAAAAAAGGGAACCGGACCCCAAACUUCAAGCGAAUCGAACUGAACCCAUCUCUCGAAAUGUCUCAGUUCCGUUCACUUCUGGGGCUCUUUUGAGGGGUCAGAGUUCAUGUGGAGUGCACAUUGCACAACAAAAAUUAAGGGAACCACACUGAGUUCACAAGAAUUGUCUGAAAGGGACCAAGUGGUGAAAACACCUAGCUGCUGUGUAUACAGGACACUUCAAUGUUUACAUACUGUUUUACCCCUAGUCAUAUGUACUAGUUCAUCCUAUAUAACUACUGCUGUCCACUUCAUAUGUAUAUACUGUAUUCUAGUUCAUCCUAUAUAACUACUGUUGUCCUCUUCAUAUGUAAAUACUGUAUUCUAGUCCUAGUUCAUCCUAUAUAACUACUGCUGUCCACUUCAUAUGUAUAUACUGUAUUCUAGUUCAUCCUAUAUAACUACUGCUGUCCACUUCAUAUGUAUAUACUGUAUUCUAGUUCAUCCUAUAUAACUACUGCUGUCCACUUCAUAUGUAUAUACUGUAUUCUAGUCAUGGUUCAUCCUGUUGUCCACUUCAUAUGUAUAUACUGUAUUCUAGUUCAUCCUAUAUAACUACUGCUGUCCACUUCAUAUGUGUAUAUACUGUAUUCUAGUCAAGGUUCAUCCUAUAUAACUACUGCUGAC
ensembl:lncRNA